rnacentral:rRNA from 1 species
GACAGAGGUGCCGAGCGUUAGGCGGAAUCACUGGGCUUAAAGCGUGUGUAGGCGGCCCGUUAAGUGCCUCGUGAAAUCCCCCCGGCUCAACCGGGGAACUGCCGGGCAUACUGGCGGGCUUGGGUCGCUCAGGGGCAGACGGAACAGGCGGUGGAGCGGUGAAAUGCGUAGAUAUCGCCUGGAACGCCGAAGGUGAAAACAGUCGCUGGGG